AUUCUGUAAUUGCUGAGUUUCCGGGAUAACCGGAAAACGGGGGAACCAAUCAAGCGGGAGUACUGGCGGUGUGAGAGCCACCAUAUGUACCGCAAGGGGUGAAUCCUUUUGGCCGAUCACCAUGGUAUCGGUCUGAAGGUAGGGCGACUCUCACCGCCCGAAUCCGACAGCUAACCUCGUAAGCGCAGAUGGAGAGGGAGU
rnacentral:sRNA from 1 species